CGUGAGAGGCACCACAAUUUCACCGCCGUUGUGUGAGUUCUUUCAGCCUCCUGGAACAAGGAAGUGAAGAGUGAUAAAGCAGAGGAGUCUGCUGCUGGGCCUGAAAACCAAAUGAAACGUCAUGGAGAACCCACAAGUCCUCCUCCACCUAAAAGAAUGCUGAGCAUGCUGCUACUGUCAGUGAAAAAGGAAGGAGAGGGAGCAUCCCACCCCGGGGGGUCAGCUGUGUCCUUGGAAGAUGGUGAGGGUGCCUGUCCUCAUGUCCCCUUCCUGACUUGACCCUGUGAACCCUGCCUCUGUCUCAUCUACUCCACAAGAGUAGUUCCUAUUAAGGUCACUGGCUUUGGGUGAGGCUGCCAUUAAUUUCUCAACCACACCAGACCAAGUGUUCACUCUAUCCCUUAUGGAAGUUUUCCUGGAUUCCCAAACUCUGCACUCUACUGGUUUCCUUUUCCUCAUUGAAUUUGCCUUUGUUCUCCUUUCCGAUUUUCUUUUUCUCCUCAUAAUACUGUCAUUGUUCCUGAGUCCCACUGUUCCACUGUCUCUUAUUCCACACUGCCUUAUCACUCAGCAAGCUGCUCCAGUAGUUUCUGAGCUUGCGUCCUGCUUUCCCACUUGACCCUGUAGGUUAUUUGUUCCUAUGCACCCAGAGUGACCAUGUCCAUACAGAAAUCAGGUCAUGACAUGCAUAUCCUGAGACCCAUCAUCAACUCCCCGAGCAGUCAGAACAGAGUUGGAGUUCCCAGUGCUGGUCUCCAUGGCCCUACACAACCUGGCCCUGCAUGACCUGACCAUGCCAUCUUCUGCUAUCACGUGUCCUCUCCAUGUCCUUCUUGCUCUCUCUGCCUCUGACAUUUGUUUACCAAUCCAGCUCAUCCCCUUCUAGGGGCUCUGCAUGGCCCUCACAGCAGCUGGAACUCCUCCACAUGGGUGUGCAUAGGCCUGCUCUAACUCCUGCUCCUGCUCCAAGCUCUGCCCAGAGGUCACCUCCUCAGAGCACCCUGCCCGACCUCACAUCAUGGAGGCUUCCCCUCCUGCUUUCAGUCACAUCCCUGCUGACUUCCUUCCUAACACAAAGUCAACUGUAUUAAUCUUUUGCCUUUUUUACAUGUACCAUCAGCCUUCCCUAUGAGGAUGUAAGUUCCAUGAGGUUUGGGAUUGUCUUUGUCCAUUCUGUCUGUCUGGUUCCCUGCCAAGCUCCAAGUUUUUGCACAUGCCUGGCACAAAGAAGGAUGAGUAAAUGCAGUUGAGGUGUCAGACUUGGUGUAGAAAAAAAUUGGCCUCCUGAGACAAAAGACUGAUGAGGAAGAUCAUGUGUUGACUGGGAUUUCUAGUGAUGGAGUGCCAUUAUCAGGCAUCCUGACAUCAAGUGACAUGUUCAUCUCUUCACCUUGUAGAGGGCAAUCACGAUGACAUGAAGUCAUGAGUGCCAGGGCUCUGUGAAUGUUUGUUAAUUAGUUAUAUUGUCUUACUUUGUUUCUGUGUGUAUGUGUAGUGACAAGAAUAGAAGAGGCUCCUUUGUUGUAUUAUUUUUCCUGAGGUCAAAUUUUCAGGUCUGAUUCUUCUAUCUGGUAUAUUCUCCUGCUAUGAAAAGAAAUAUUAGAGACUGUGAAGCAUGUGGAUGUUCGCAUGGGGUUGCUGAAAUGCACAUCAUUGUAGCUCCUCAUUCAGUUAGAUUUCCACAGGCACCUGUCGUUCACAGUAUGCACGGGGCGGGGAGGGGAAGUGGUCGAUCCUCACCUGAUGGCUUCUGGUCUAAAUAUGAUCUCCAGAGCUUGUGAGUAUGGCAGGAGACGGUAUUCCACACAUAGAUUCUUUGUGUCCUGACUUAGCCAGGGUCAACAAGGGUGGGCCGAUUCACAGACCUGGUAGGAAGAAUUCCCAGCUGUCUCUCUGCAGAUGAUCCCAUGGUCACAGCAAUGCCUGUGUCCCAAGAAGUGCCAGAUAAACUGCCAAUACCAGUGGAAAUUAGUGCUGACAUGAAACAUCAGUUAAAGAAUGAAAUUCGACGAUAUGGACAACAUAAGUAUGAAUAUGAAAAAGUCUUCAAAUUGCUUGAAGGAGUGUAAAGACCUCAAGAAUUGUGGAACAAAUUUUGUUUUAUUGUCUGUCAAAGAAACAGCAAGGUGGGUAUAGAGAGAAGCUCUGUAGCACAGCAAGAUUGAUAUUAUCUGAGUCUCACUCACUCUUCCAAGUUCCAGGAGACUUCUGUUCACACCAUAGUUUGAGAUUUAAAAGACAAGACUGAAUAAGGCACCUGGAGGAGGUACUAGAAAAAUUAGAAUCUGACCACCUUCUCAACAAUGAGAAUCAUACCUCAAACUUAUAAUUCUGUCACCAAGUUAUCAAUAUGUAACCAGAACCAGUUUGCUGUCCUAGAAUGGAACGGGAUAUUGUUGAUGCCUCCUAGCCCAUGUUAGUUAAGAAUUGUCUACUUGAAGCUAAGAAAAAGCAUCAGAACUUUAAUGUUAUAAAAUUCUGGUACUAAGUUUGCUUUAUCAAUUCAUUUAAAAGGAUAAUUUGUUGUUUGUUUGUUUGUUUGUUUUCCCCCUAAAGUGCAGGAAUGCUGUUAAGUCAUUGGUUUAUACUACAUCCUAGCUCCUCAGCAGGUCACAGGCCUGUAGCUGGUAUUUCUAGUAUAUUCCACACUAGCAAUUUCUUUUUUAAAAUUUUAUAUUUUAAGUAAUAUCUAUACCCAAAUUGGGGCUUAUAUAACUCCAAGAUCAAGAGUCACAUGCUCCACUGAGCCAGUCAGCACCCUAUACAUUCUCCAUUUUUUUUUCUUUUGCCUGAGACAGUCACUCAUGGGGGUCAUACGGCCUCAGGGGAUGACUCACAGCUUAAUUACCAAUGGGCCGGAUCAUUAGACGUCCUGCCCGAACUGAGUUCCUAUAAUUUUUCUUUGACUUUAAUCACCAAUAUGAGAGUGCUGAGAAAAGCCCAAACAUUGUGGACAGAGAGUCCUCCUCAGCGCCUUGUGUCCUGGCAGCCCUGUAUCCUUACCCAUCAGGUUCCAUUGUGUAGGAGCCCCAUGUUUGCCUGAGGACUAAGGGAGUGGAGCUCUGCAGUCUGAACCCUUGGCAGAGUCUAUUUCCAUUUCAAUGGAGUCAUUGUUAGGGCUGUUAUGGAAAACAUUUAUCCUUUGGAUAAAGACCUCUAGUGCAGGGAGGUCUAAGGUUAUGGGGACUAGAAGCAAAAUUUGGCUACUGGAUACAGAAGAGUAAUAGUGAGAGGAGUCCCUCACACUGCCAUCCCUUCAUUAAUAAAGGUGUGAAUUGUGUCUGUGGGAGAGAUAUCCAUAUAUACUGGCCAAUGAGGUAGAGGAUUGACAUCCUCUAAAUUAUAUUACCCCAGCCCCUCAAGGUACUGCUGCCAAGUUAGAACCAUAGUGUGGCUUUAAAAGAUCAUUCCAGGACUUUUUUGAAACUCACUUUAGGAUGAUGAGGUAGGUAAUACACCUACUGAAUUACAUAAGCAUGUGCCCUGAUAAACAAUUUCCUUGUUUAUAAGUGAUGCUGUGUGGAAUACCAUGAUGGUGGAUAAAGCAUUUUCUAAAUCCAUGAAUGUUGGUUUUCUCAAAAAUCUCUGAGUGGAAAGGAAGAUCCAUUUGAGUAUAAAGAGCUAGCUUUCCCUGAUGAAAGGAGACCACAAUAAUCCAUCUGCCUACUGAUAUUAGCUGACUGACCACUUGGGGGAUGUGGUGCCAUAUCAGGUGCUCAGUGUUGGUCUGUGCUGCUGGCAGAUGGAGCAGUCAGCAGUAUCGGCAACACCAUCAGUCUUGCUGAGUGGAAGUUCAUGUUUAUGUUCCAUGCAUAAUCUGCAUCCCUGCUUUCAUGACCAUGAUGCAUUACUACUGCUUGGAAGAUGGAGGGGUACAUCUAGGGAGGUAUGGGGGUGGUCCUAGGAGCUCAGGAUGGCCUCAGCCGAGAGAGAGCAAGGAAAUAGGGACCCCACUCCUACAACCUUAGGAAACUAGAGCUGCCAAUUACCUGGAAGGGUUUGGAAGCAGUUUCUCCCUCCAAGUCUCCAGUUAAUGACCUAGCAUGGCCAAUACCUUGAGUUCAAUUGCGUGAGACCCUAAGCAGAGAACCCCGUCGAGCCUGCCUGAACUUGUGACCUAUGGAACUCCUUGAUCAUUCAUUUGUGUCAUUUCAUACUGCUAAAUAUGGGGUAACGGACUUAUUGUGUGCUAUUAGAAAAUGAAUAUGGGCAAGUGCCUGCAUAUUGGAAUAUCCCAACUGAAAAUCAGGCAUGAUACUUUG